rnacentral:rRNA from 1 species
AUUGAACGCUGGCGGCAGGCCUAACACAUGCAAGUCGAACGAGUGGCGGACGGGUGAGUAAUGUCUGGGACUCUGCCCGAUGGAGGGGUAUAACUACUGGAAACGGUAGCUAAUACCGCAUACUAUCGGAUGUGCCCAGAUGGGAUUAGCUAGUAGGUGGGGUAACGGCUCACCUAGGCGACGAUCCCUAGCUGGUCUGAGAGGAUGACCAGCCACACUGGAACUGAGACACGGUCCAUACUCCUACGGGAGGCAGCAGUGGGGAAUAUUGCACAAUGGGAGCAAGCCUGAUACAGCCAUGCCGCGUGUAUGAAGAAGGCCUUCGGGUUGUAAAGUACUUUCAGCGAGGAGGCGUUACUCGCAGAAGAAGCACCGGCUAACUCCGUGCCAGCAGCCGCGGUAAUUC